UAGGGAAUCUUCCGCAAUGGGCGAAAGCCUGCCGGAGCAACGCCGCGUGAGUGAUGAAGGUCUUCGGAUCGUAAAACUCUGUUAUUAGGGAAGAACAAAUGUGUAAGUAACUAUGCACGUCUUGACGGUACCUAAUCAGAAAGCCACGGCUAACUACGUGCCAGCAGCCGCGGUAAUACGUAGGUGGCAAGCGUUAUCCGGAAUUAUUGGGCGUAAAGCGCGCGUAGGCGGUUUUUUAAGUCUGGUGUGAAAGCCCACGGCUCAACCGUGGAGGGUCAUUGGAAGCUGGAAAACUUGAGUGCAGAAGAGGAAAGUGGAAUUCCAUGUGUAGCGGUGAAAUGCGCAGAGAUAUGGAGGAACACCAGUGGCGAAGGCGACUUUCUGGUCUGUAACUGACGCUGAUGUGCGAAAGCGUGGGGAUCAAACAGG
rnacentral:rRNA from 1 species